GAACAUUAACUAUUAACGUUAAACUGUGAGAUGUCAAAUAAUCAAUCCCACUUCGAGAUAAUCUCCCUAUCAUUUCUUAUCCUCUCUAGAUUUCUCUUUUAAUUUCGGGCAGUAAUGCAUAAUUUCUGACCUCCUCAGGUGGUUGAGUAUAAAUAGGGUUCUUGAAAGUAUCAACCUCUGUGCACCUUUAUCCCCAGCCAAUAAUCUCCUUACACUCCAAAAUUUAACUCUCUUGUGAUCAGAUCUGAAAGCUCAUUCCAGCCUUUCGGCAUUUCUUCCUCAAAUCUCAUCAAAUCCCAAGUCGUUUUCAGAAUUCUGAGAGCUACCCAAUUCCCAGAAUUCUGCAGGAAAAGAUGGGUCGCCGAUGGUUUCUGAGAUUUCUCUUGGUUUCUUCCCUUCUCGCUCUUUUUUCCUCUCACGGUAAGCAACUCACACUGUAACGUUUAUACUGUUUCAUUGCAGCACUUUAUAUUCUGAGAACUGAUUUCCGCACGCUUAUUCCCAAAGUAGUGUGCAGAAAUAAAAAUAAGCGUGCGGAAAUCAUAUCCCAAUAUUUUUUUCGAUUCCCGAAAAGCGGAUUCUGAAUUUGGUUUUGUUUUUAAAGGAUUUGGGAGAAAGCUGAUGGAGACUGCUGAGCAUGGUGAAGAUUCUUCAGUUCUAGUCUCAAAGGUAAAAAGAGUCUUUGUCCCUUCACCUUUGUUGGGUACUAAAUUUUUUUAUUUAAUCAAUUUUCUGUUUGUUUCUCAGGAAAAUGAUGGAAAAUCGAGGAGGAUGAUCACAGUGAUGGAUUACGCAGAUCCAGAGCCGAAUGUGAACCCGAGAACAGGGUAUAUCUUUGCCCCUCCUCCUCAGCCCAACUAAGAUGAUCAAACUUUUGUGGCAAGAAAAAUAAUGUCAUUUGUUUUCACUUUUUACUUUUUACUUUCUAAAUUUUAGUUCUGAACGGUAAUUUCUAAUUACUUUGUCCAUUUUUUUCUUUGAACAUUUGUACUAUUUGUCUUUUUUUUUUCAAUAUCGGUUCAAUCUCAAUCAUUCAUAUUCCGUAACGUGUUUUCUGCUAUUGAAGAAAAAUUAUUGAAACGGUUAUAAUUUGAAUGUGUAUGCUUUGCUUUUAUUAUUGAGAGUUUUAACAAAACACUUCAGGUACUAUUCACUUUUAAUGAAAAAUCACAUUUUUAUAUUUAACUGUCACUAUUCAUUAUACUUUUAAAAAUGAUUUUUCAUUAAAAGAUAAGUUUUUUUGGAUUUUUCGUUAGUUUUCUUUUUAUUUUUUUGGUUAAAAAUGUUAUGAAUGAUAGAGUGAAUACAAUAAUUUUACUUCUACACUCUAAUGACGUAGUGAUGAAUACUGAUGGAUAAG
rnacentral:lncRNA from 1 species